rnacentral:rRNA from 1 species
UACAGAGGGUGCGAGCGUUGUCCGGAAUCACUGGGCGUAAAGAGCGCGUAGGUGGCGCUCCAAGUCCGUGGUGAAAGCUCGAUGCUCAACAUCGAGUCGGCCACGGAGACUGGAGGGCUCGAGCACUGUAGGGGCAGAUGGAAUUCCAGGUGUAGCGGUGGAAUGCGUAGAGAUCCGGAAGAACACCGGUGGCGAAGGCGGUCUGCUGGGCAGUUGCUGACACUGAGGCGCGACAGCGUGGGGAGCAAACAGG